rnacentral:misc_RNA from 1 species
AACGCACAUUGCGCCCGGCAGUAAUCUGCCGGGCAUGCCUGUCCGAGCGUCAUUUCAACCCUCGAGCCUAGUCUUCUCGGCUCGGCGUUGGGGCGCUACGGGUCAUUUUACAUGCCCCGUAGGCCCCGAAAUACAGUGGCGGUCCCGCCGCGGUGCCCCCUGCGUAGUAGUGUCUUUACAGAACUCGCAUUGGGUCCCGGCGGAGGCUUGCCAGUCAAACCCCACUAUCACAAGAUGGUUUGACCUCGGAUCAGGUAGGGUUACCCGCUGAACUUAA